UCAUGGCCUUUAUGACCAGGGCUACACACGUGCUACAAUGGGUGGUACAAAGAGCAGCUAACUCGCGAGAGUAUGCAAAUCUCAAAAAGCCAUCCUCAGUUCGGAUUGGAGUCUGCAACUCGAUUCCAUGAAGUUGGAAUCGCUAGUAAUCGCGGAUCAGCAUGCCGCGGUGAAUACGUUCCGGGCCUU
rnacentral:rRNA from 1 species